ACGCUGUCAAAUAACAGAGAAAAAAAAGCCAAGUGUGGUGCUUCCGAUUAUAGUUUGAUUUCAUUAUUCCGCAUUGCCGGAAAUUUGUAAACAGUAAAGUUGUUCUGGACGCAAUUUUUAGACAUCAGACAUCCAAAUGGCCGAUCUGGAGGUAGUAAAUGGUGUCGACGAUGCGAACGACAAAAAGCAAAAGAAAUCGUCGAAGCAUGAUGGUGGAGCCGCCGAUUUGGAAAGAGUGACGGAUUACGCCGAGGAGAAGGAGAUCACAUCUCACAAUUUAUGUUCAAACGCUGCAAACUUGUUUGAAGAUAAACGCAACAAGGAAAAUGAAGAAAAGCUAGCAAUAGAACGAGAACUACAGAAAGUACAUGUGAAAAAGGAGGACAUAGAAUUGAUCAUUCGUGAAAUGGAAAUCACUCGCAGCAAGGCGGAACAGACUCUACGCGUGCACCGGGGCGACGUGGUAGCAGCCUUAGAAGCGCUGAUAAACUAAAACUCUAUGCCGUUUGUGUUCCUUUCCAUACGCUAUAUGAAGUGCGCCGCUGGACGCUUAAAAUCUAAUAAAAGAAGUGCAAAAGGAAUAUCAUAGCAUUCUUCCUUGGGACGUCCAUUCGUUUCACCAUUAUCGGAGGGUUGUAUGAUCUGUGGCUGCGAUGAAGUGAGUUUAUCGGGUUCGAACGCAUGAUUUGUUAUGCCCUGAAGGUUACUGGAGGUGCGAUCGGUUGGCAAAUCCAUGGAUAGUGCAUGAUCGGUUGUGGUGGUCGUGGGAAUAUCGAUUACUGCUAUUCCACUGCUCGUUCUGUCAGUUUGUUCUUGUGUGUAAGGUGGCGGAUUCUCAGCUAGAGAAAUCUGAACAAAUAGAUGAAACAUAUCACUAUUGGA